rnacentral:rRNA from 1 species
AACGAACGCUGGCGGCAUGCCUAACACAUGCAAGUCGAACGAGACCUUCGGGUCUAGUGGCGCACGGGUGCGUAACGCGUGGGAACCUGCCCUUAGGUUCGGAAUAACUCCCCGAAAGGGGUGCUAAUACCGGAUAAUGUCUUCGGACCAAAGAUUUCUCGCCUUUGGAUGGGGCCGCGUUGGAUUAGCUAGUUGGUAGGGUAAAAGCCUACCAAGGCGACGAUCCAUAGCUGGUCUGAGAGGAUGAUCAGCCACACUGGGACUGAGACACGGCCCAGACUCCUACGGGAGGCAGCAGUGGGUAAUAUUGGACAAUGGGCGAAAGCCUGAUCCAGCAAUGCCGCGUGAGUGAUGAAGGCCUUAGGGUUGUAAAGCUCUUUUACCCGGGAUGAUAAUGACGGUACCGGGAGAAUAAGCUCCGGCUAACUCCGUG